GCUCAGAACGAACGUUAGCGGCGCGCCUAACACAUGCAAGUCGCACGAGAAAGGGCUUCGGCCCCGGUAAAGUGGCGCACGGGUGAGUAACACGUAGGUAAUCUGCCCUCGAGUGGUGGAUAACCCUCCGAAAGGAGGACUAAUACAGCAUGAGACCACGGGUUCUUCGGAGCCUGCGGCCAAAGUGGGCCUCUUCACGAAAGCUCACGCUCAAGGAUGAGCCUGCGGCCCAUCAGCUAGUUGGCGGUGUAACGGACCACCAAGGCUAAGACGGGUAGCUGGUCUGAGAGGAUGAACAGCCACACUGGAACUGAGACACGGUCCAGACUCCUACGGGAGGCAGCAGUGGGGAAUCUUGCGCAAUGGGCGAAAGCCUGACGCAGCGACGCCGCGUGAGUGAUGAAGGCCUUCGGGUUGUAAAGCUCUGUGGGGAGAGACGAAUAAGGGCCGGCUAAUACCCGGCUCGAUGACGGUAUCUCCUUAGCAAGCACCGGCUAACUCUGUGCCAGCAGCCGCGGUAAGACAGAGGGUGCAAACGUUGUUCGGAAUCACUGGGCGUAAAGCGCGUGUAGGCGGCUGCGCAAGUCGGGCGUGAAAUCCCGUGGCUCAACCACGGAAGUGCACCCGAAACUGCGUAGCUGGAGUCUCGGAGAGGAAGGCGGAAUGCUUGGUGUAGAGGUGAAAUUCGUAGAUAUCAAGCGGAACACCAGUGGCGAAGGCGGCCUUCUGGACGAUGACUGACGCUGAGACGCGAAAGCGUGGGGAGCAAACAGGAUUAGAUACCCUGGUAGUCCACGCUGUAAACGAUGAGUGCUAGGUGUCACGGGCUUUGACCCCCGUGGUGCCGUAGCUAACGCAGUAAGCACUCCGCCUGGGGGAGUA
rnacentral:rRNA from 1 species